GGGAUAGGCCUUUCCAAUUACUUACAAGUUAUAUAAUAAGAUGGCCAAGAGUCUUCGAAAUGUUUUCUCUGUCUUCUUUAUCCUCCUCGUCGUUUUGCUUCUCGGGAUGACACCGCUGUUAUCUGCUCGUCAACUUCUACGAGGGUCUCCUCGCGGGUCGGGAGCGCGUGGGAGUGAUCCAAGUCCUGGAGGACCAGGGAGGCACUGAUAAUCCAGUGCAUCCCAUCGGAGGAUUAAAAGUUAAGACAGAAGCCCAAUAUAUUAUGCAAACGACUAGUAGUAUUAUAUACAUAUCCAACUCAAUUAUAGUUCUUUUCUUUUUUUUUUAUUUGAAUAUGUUAUGUAUGUAACUCUGGUUGUGAAUAAGUUGUGGAAUUAAUAAUAAUUUAAGUUUUUAAAAAA